CGGCAUGUAUUAGCCGACAUCAACAAGAUCUUGCAAGUGUGAGAACCAGACGGCAAACGCCAUUCCUUUUACUUUCGCCGUCACAAAAACGCGAUUUAGCGUCAUAUUCCUUUCUCUUGGACCCCGAGAGACGAGGAGGAAUAGAAAGAGAUCCUCCAUGAGAUACCAAUCAUGGUGGAAGGUGCUGUUGGCGCCAUUUUUCUCAAAAGGGAAGAACUUGGCGGGAAAUGCUCAGUAUUUGAAGAGAAGGGGUCGAGGAAGGACGUCCAGAAUGUGUUCAAACAUGUUAACCGAGUCGCCAGUGAAGCUGGUCACAGCAGAUGAAACAGCCGCAGAUAGCCUAAGAGGUCGUGACCUUGUAAACCAUGCCAUGAGAAGCAUCUUCGCCACUUCUCCAGCGUCGUCUCCCAAGAAGAGGGAAGCUGACAGCCAGUCAUCUGCACCUCAGGCAGGACUGUCGCUGCUUCCGGCAUCUCUCCUCCUGCAGAAGAGCUUUGAUCUUAUUGCCUCUGAGACUCCUUCAGAAAAGAGGAAAAGAUCCAGGCCCUUCACAGUGUCAAUCGAAGGGAAUAUAGGAAGUGGCAAAUCCACCUUCCUUCAGUACUUUUCAGCUCUACCAGGUGUAGCUACCUAUCAGGAACCUCUGAAUCUUUGGACUAAUCUCCACGGCCACAACCUACUAGGGAAGUUGUACGAGGACCCCAAACGCUGGAGUUUCCUUUUCCAGUCCUAUGUCCAGUUGACUCGACUGAAUAUUCACCUUCAACAGUGCGACAGUCCUGUCAAGCUUAUAGAGAGAUCUUUGCAAAAUAACAGAUAUUGUUUUGUGGAAAGUGGUCAUAAUUCUGGAGAACUACAGGGUGCAGAAUAUAGUGUACUAUGUGAAUACUACGAUCUGCUUGAGUCAACUCUUGAUAUUGGAAUAGAUUUAAUAGUAUACUUAAGAUCGACACCAGAAACUGUACACAACAGGAUGAUUGAGCGAGGUCGGUCAGAAGAAGCAGGUGUUCCAUUGGAGUAUCUCAAACAGGUUCACAACUACUAUGAGAAUUGGUUACUAGAGCAUAAACCUCGUGCACCCCCAGCUCCAGUACUUGUAAUUGAUGCUGACAAGGAUUUGGAGAAGGUCAAGGAGGAGUAUAGACAAAAGAAAGCAGUUAUUAUGGGAGAAGAACCUUUAUAAUGAAGGCUGUAAAUCAUGAUCUCAACUUCAUGUGUCUGUUUUUUACAUUGAACAUACCAUCCAUCUUGCUGGUGAAAGUCGUGUAUCAAAUGAUUUCAAAGGGAACUUGAGGCAUUAUUAGCAUGACAGCAAACAACGAACACGAAAAUAUGUAUCAGGUGACUGACUGCUGUUCUCAAGACAUACUGUAUUUGCUUUAUUUUUAGGGUCAGUUUGGUAAUUAGGAAAUAAAGUUACUUGAACUAUGAACUUUGAACUUUGAUGAGGAUUUACUUAAAAUAAAUUAUAUUAAGUAAGGAGUCCUUGUUUUAAAAUUAACAGUUAGUAGGAACAUUAAAGAAAAGAUCUCUUGACAGUUGAGUUUGUGUUCAAUAUAGUUGAAAGCAAAUAUAAUCUGCUUCAGUCUUAAAGGCAAAUUUUAAAAAUCACUUUGUUCAAAUUAAUCUGGUCAAAAGAGAUUUUUUAAUAAAUGUAUAUUAAGAGUUUUUUUUAUAAUGUAUACAGGAAGAAAUAUAUAGUUGUUUCAGUACUUUUAUACUAAGUAUAUUUAUAUAUA
rnacentral:misc_RNA from 1 species